UAAGCAAAUAAUGUCUGAUAAUUCAGAACGUCUUAAACCAUUUUGCAUUGCGUUUCUCGCUUGUUUUGUUGAGGGUCAUGUGGAGGAGGUUUUACCAGGCAGCAUAGGGCACUAGGCAGGAAUACACCUUGGAUGCGAUUUCUGUCUCAGGGCGCGCAUACAUAAUCACACGCAAUAGGCAAUUGAGAGACGCCACUUAACCUAAUUGCAUGUCUUAGGCCUGCGUGAGGAAACCCGCGCGAUACGGAGAGACCAUGCAAAUGCCAUGGAAGCGAGAAACAAGUGUGCAAUGAACUACGCCUGUGAUAUUAUGCAGAAAAUGAUAAGCUAAACGUCGACGUAACAAAGGGACCAGUUUUUCUGCACAUGCAGCCUUUAACACCGAAACGGAGUCCGUUUUUAUGUUCUCAUUUGUGGUGAUUCCGCCUCCAAAGGCGGUGCGUAAACUGACAGACGAAAUGGAGUCAUGUGUUUGUGGUUGCACUGAAUCAAGAAAUAAACGACUUCAAGACAGGACUUUGACUGAGCCGUAUAAGUGAAUCUCAGCCCUGAGAGGAAACCUCAGAUGUUCCCACAGUCCAGCUGGGAGAUCUAAUCCCUGCAGCAGGUCCUGGAUCUUCCCUGGGGUCUGUGCCCAGUGGGAUGCCAUUCAGGUGGCACCUUCAUCGGAUGCCUAAACCACCUCAGCUGACUCCUCUUGAUCUGAAGGCGGCUCUAUUUUGAGGUCCUUCGAACUCCUCACCGUGUCACAGGUAGUGAAUCCAGCAACCCUGCAGCGAAGCCUCAUUUGUGCCACUUUUUCUCACGACCUUGUUCUUUUGGUCAUUACCCUCAGCUUUAAGUACCUUCGAAUUUACGAGGCUGUUAUGUAAUAAAAUAUCUGUGAAAUGGGUAUUGAGCAUGGGUCCGAUUCAGACUGGCUGACCUCUUUUGGAAGAGGACCGGUUAUACUUUGUCAUGUCUGAUGCACUUUUCCGGAGAAAGAAGGAAACGUAUUUUAGCAGUGCAAGUCAUAUGUCAGUGCUCCUGCAUGCUUAAAACAGCUCCCGUGAUAGACAUCUAUGGUCAUUUGCUUGAU